CUCGAUGAGUAGGGCGGGACACGUGGUAUCCUGUCUGAAUAUGGGGGGACCAUCCUCCAAGGCUAAAUACUCCUGACUGACCGAUAGUGAACCAGUACCGUGAGGGAAAGGCGAAAAGAACCCCGGCGAGGGGAGUGAAAAAGAACCUGAAACCGUGUACGUACAAGCAGUGGGAGCACCCUUUGGGGUGUGACUGCGUACCUUUUGUAUAAUGGGUCAGCGACUUAUAUUCUGUAGCAAGGUUAACCGAAUAGGGGAGCCGGAGGGAAACCGAGUCUUAACCGGGCGUUAAGUUGCAGGGUAUAGACCCGAAACCCGGUGAUCUAGCCAUGGGCAGGUUGAAGGUUGGGUAACACUAACUGGAGGACCGAACCGACUAAUGUUGAAAAAUUAGCGGAUGACCUGUGGCUGGGGGUGAAAGGCCAAUCAAACCGGGAGAUAGCUGGUUCUCCCCGAAAGCUAUUUAGGUAGCGCCUCGUGAAUUCAUCUCCGGGGGUAGAGCACUGUUUCGGCUAGGGGGCCAUCCCGGCUUACCAACCCGAUGCAAACUGCGAAUACCGGAGAAUGUUAUCACGGGAGACACACGGCGGGUGCUAACGUCCGUCGUGAAGAGGGAAACAACCCAGACCGCCAGCUAAGGUCCCAAAGUCAUGGUUAAGUGGGAAACGAUGUGGGAAGGCCCAGACAGCCAGGAUGUUGGCUUAGAAGCAGCCAUCAUUUAAAGAAAGCGUAAUAGCUCACUGGUCGAGUCGGCCUGCGCGGAAGAUGUAACGGGGCUAAACCAUGCACCGAAGCUGCGGCAGCGACGCUGAUGCGUUGUUGGGUAGGGGAGCG
rnacentral:rRNA from 1 species